GUAGAGCCUGAUCUCGGUGUGGCUGGUUGGUUGUUCAGACUUGCGAGUAGGCACUCCAGCAGGCAGCAGUAAAUAAAAAAAGUGAGAGCUUUGUGUCUAAUCUGUUCCAAGUGUUGCAUUCCAAUCUUGGUCCAACUGGCAAGGACAAACAAAAAGUUGGAACUGAAUUUGACCUGAUCUGUGCCUUUUGAACCGAUAGUGAGACGCUAGCUCCAACUGCCUCGUACCGUGUAGUGUACUACUCCAAAAAGCUAAUGGUGUUCUGCUCGUAGUAGCUGGAAAUGAAAACAUAACUUUGGAUUUCCAAAAGGAGAAAAAAGGGCAAUUUGAAGUCAGUUUCAUGGGAUGUUUAGCUGACAAAUCUGUGCACUAACAAGUGAUUACACACUCAUCCUAGGCAAGAACGUAGCUUGCUAAGGUCCUGGUAUCUAAUGGUUCGACAGUUACUCAGGAGUGACGUGGUGGGGGAGUUCCGCGGGUGUGCUGUGUGAUUUGGAAGCGAACUAGAAGUAACUAGUCUUCAACCCAUGCUACUGCAUGGGCUAGUAAUUACCGAAAAUUUAUAAUAUUAUACAUAAAAUGUUUAAGUAAUUAUUUACUUUAUAUCCCGUCCAAAUCAGAAGUAUUGAUUAUUUUUACUACUUAUUUUCAUAGCGCAGAUAAUAUUAUAUUUCCUACGCCCUACACUUUAAAUAUUGUGGACAAUCAUAUACCUUUAAAUUUCAUAUGCUAGUGUCCUGCAUUAUGCACUGGAGAAGCACGGGAUGUUUUUGCCUAGUAGUAGCACUGGGUUUUUUCCUAGUAGUAGCACUGGGUUUUUUCCUAGUAGUAGCGCGGGCAUCGGCGCUACAGCUAAACUUUAGCAGUAGCGUUGGUCAGCCCGCGCUACUGCGAUGUAUGUUAGUAGUAGCAGGCACUACUGCUAAGUAAUAGCAGCGUGGUCUUCAACCCAUGCUAGUACUAUUCAUCUGUAUUUCAAUUCUUUUUAUUUUAUACUCUAUUUUACAUCUACUAAUCCAACUUUUGGCCACAUGAAUCUAAUCUGGGUUUCUUCCACCCAAUGAUGUAAUAACUCAUCAUGAUCAUAAUAAGUCAUCAUCAUCAUCAUAACAACUCAUCAUCAUAGUCAUAUAGGAACUAGCUCAUCAUUCUAGCACAAUGUAGCACAUAAUUCGUCAUCAUCAUCGUGAUAACAAAUCAUCAUUAUAGUCAUAUAGGAACUAGCUCAUCAUUCUAGCACAAUGUAGCACAAAACUCAUCAUCAUCAUGAUAACAAGCCAUCAUCGUAUUCAUAUGAGAACUAGCUCAUCAUUCUAGGACAAUGUAGCACAUAACUACCUAAGACCUGCUACUCUCUCGAAGGUAAGAUAGCAUAAAAUGGUUAAACCCCUGAAUCUCCAUUACGGAGAAUACAGAUGAACCUAUCUCUCAUUUGUGGGCUGCGCUUGAUGUUGCCCCCAAGUAGUUCCCUGCGAUCAUUCAGAACUUUUCUCCAGUCUUUGAUUGUGAGGACGUCAUCUCUUUGAUGAAUCGUGUAUGCACUGCGGUGACACGUAGGCCAACUUGGCUUUAAGCUAAUAAUGUUCAUGUCACCUUUCAUUUCCAUAAGACGAGGUACACAAUCCACCGGGAAUUUCUAUAGAAGAACAUCAUAAUGACAUACUUAGCAAAAUGUAUAGUUUACUUCAGAAGAAUGUAUGCAAAAGAUGCAUUGAUGAUAUAAUAGGAAAAUCUUACCAUGAUAUCUCGAUGGAUGUUACCGUAAUUCAACACGUGGACUAGUGGCACGUAUUGAUCAUAACUUGGAGGAAUAUGACAACUCAUCUUAAAAGUCUCAACAUCUUGAAUCCAUGAAACAAAAUGAUUUAUCUCCUCGCAAGUUAGCUCAGACCCAUAAGUGUAGUAGGUUUUCUCUACUACUUCCCGUACAUUUCUUGAAGAAUGGAAACUCACAUAGAGGUAGAAGUGGAAGCAUACCCUUUUAAGUGAACAAUAUAAAUUACUUAAUAAAUAUGUUUGAGAAACUAACAUAGAGGUAGAAGUGGAAGCAUAUCAACAUCGACCCAAAUGUUGAUAUUAUCUUCAUCGAUGUCAUCUUCAGGAUCACCAAGAUCGAAGGUCACAUGCAUACCCUCCUGAAAACCAUACGCCUUGCAUAUUUCUAUCCAAUUCGAGCAACCAAAAUGGGAGUAGGUCACCGCAUGUUGGAAACGUUGCAUGGAAAACAAAAAACAAUUCUACGCACACGCAAGAUCUAUCAAAGAAGAUGCAUAGCAAUGAGAUGGGAGAGCGUGUCUACGUACCCUCGUAGACCGUCAGCGGAAGUGUUUGAUAACACGGUUGAUGUAGUCAAACUUCUUCGCGCUCCAACCGAUCAAGUACCGAACGUACGACACCUCCGCAUUCUGCAGGCGUUCAGCUCGGUGACGUCCUCAGCCUUCUUGAUCCAGCAAGACAACGAGGUAGUGGAUGAGUUUCGACAACAUGACGGCAUGGUGACGGUGAUGGUGAAGCUAUAUCCACAGGGCUUCGCCUAAGCAGUACGACAAUAUGUCCGGGGUGUAAACGGUGGAUGGGGCGCCGCACAUGGAAAAACAUUUAUUUUCCUAUCUAAAACCGACUCUAACUUAUGUUCUAAAUAUAACGGUCCCGUCUAUUGUAGCACUCCACUAGUAGAAAUAGGGCCAAUUGUCCCGGUCCAUAAGGGCCUUUAGUCCCGGUUCUUACACGAAACGGGACUAAAGGCCGUCCACGUGGCCGCUGCCUGGAGGUCCACCUUUAGUCCCGGUUGGUAACACCAAGCGGUAUAAAGGAAGUUUUAUGAUUUUUUUGAAUUUUUUUCUUGAUUUUCAAAUUUUUGAAUUAUUUUAACCUCUGAUCUCUAAUCACCCCUCAUCACUACUCAAUUUAACCUCUAAUCUCUAAUCACCCCUCAUCAUUGUAAAUCAUCUAACUUCCCGGAGGGUCACCCAUCCUCUCACUACUCCAGCCUGAGCACGUUUAACUUCCGGGUUCUAUUAUCCCUCGUUUCCAAGCCUGUACUUAUUGUUUUCCUGACAAUAGUAAGAUGUCAAUCCUAUUAACCCUCAGGAAUUUAGCUUGAGCAUGAAGUCACACAUUUCACUGUUUGAGUUUGAAACUAUUGUUCUAAAAAACAAUAAUUAUUUAGUAACACUAAUAUUUCUUGAAUAAGUAGUUGGACCACAGUUUGACCAGAUUUGACCGAAAUUAAAAAAAACUGAAACAAUUAUUUAGCAACACUAAUAUUUCUUGAAUAAGUAGUUUGACCAUAGUUUGACCACAGUUUGACCAGAUUUGACCAAAUUUCAAAAAAAAACUGAAAUAAUUAUUUAGCAACACUAAUAUUCUUGAAUAAUUAUUUAGUAACACUAAUACUUCUUGAAUAAGUAGUUUGACCAGAUUUAACAAAAAUUCAAAAAAAACUGAAAUUUGAGCAUAACUUUUUUUCCUUUUAGAAUUUGAGGAUUCUAAAAAUUUGCAAACAAGCCGUAGGCCGUCAAAAUUGGAUCCGGAUUUUCGUGCUGAAUAUUUUGAUAUAUUAUACGUUUUUUCUGACAUCGUAUGCAAAAGUUAUAGCUGUUUUAUAUUUUUCCUACACUUUUUGCAAAACAUGUCCAAAUUUAAGUUUUUAAAUUUUCCUAACUAGUAGAUGUAGUAACAUAACUACAUCUCGAAGGAUUUUCAUUUUUAAAGUUUUUAUCAUUUCUUUUGCUUUUUACAAAACUGAAAAGGCGAUCCACAGGACGGCAGGGGGGGGGGGUUAGAGUUUGAAAAUGAGACCUUUAGUACCUGUUCGUGCCAUGAACCGAUACUAAUGCUUCAAACCCCUGGGACUAAUACCUGUACGGUGCCCUAGCCGUUUGAACCGGGACUAAUGCUCACAUUAGUCCCGGUUCGUAAUGCAACCGGGAUUAAUGCUCUUUUCUGGCCGAAUCAAAGCCCUGUUUUCUACAAGUGUCGUCUAAAAUACACUGCUCGGCUGCGCGCCUGGGCCAAGUAUCUCGGUCUAUCGAGCUGGCCCGGUCAAAACCAGGACCAGACCGACUUAUUUUCGGGCCUGUUUCUGCAGACCGGACCGACCAUUUUUAUCAGCGGGCCAGGACCGUUCGGUCCGAUCCGUUGCGGGCCACGAGCCGGGCCAAAAGCCCGCUCGCCACGUCCAGGCCGAGUCUUGUGUAUCGUUGUACAUUUCAAAGCAGCAAGCAAGGAUCGGAGUACCCAAAUACUGUAGCAGCCUAGACGUUCCCCAAAUACAGUAUAAACUAGUGAACUUAUGAGGAAAUUUCCUUGGACCACUUUCAGUGACCAGCACCCACCGCUUUCCUUGACGUGAUCCGCCCGUCCCCCAUUGCGUCACACGCCUAUCUCCGCAAAGUCACACUCCCAACCCUCUAAAGGCUUGAGUGCUCUACCCACAGCCAUUACCACGCCUCGCACAAUUGUCGCCAGGCGAGACAAGGACAGCUAGCAAGAGAGCAAGGCGAUGUCAAUGGCGGACGAGCAAUACGACGCUGGGCCGCGUGGGGCGCCGCAUGGGCUGCUGUUGGCGGUGGUGGUGGGGCUGCUGGUUGGGUGGCCGCUUUUCCUAAGUGACGGCGCUGAGGCGGUCACCGAUGCCAUCGCCGGGCUGCUUGGCCCCGUGGGCCUGCUCCUCCUCCCGGUGGGGCUCCUCCUCCUCAUCCACCUCCUCUCCUGCGACCGCUCCCCCGACGUGUUCGAGUUUGCCGGCUCGCCCGACGCCGUGCACCACGUCGGGGGAUCACCCGUCGGCGUGGCGCUGAUGCUGGUCCUCAUGCUUGCCCUCCUCUACUACCGGUCCGCACUCUUCGGUGGCGGCGGAGGCGACGACGAGUAGGCGCCUAGGCGCUCGCCAGUAGGUACUAGGUAGAGCCUGAUCUCGGUGUGGCUGGUUGGUUGUUCAGACUUGCGAGUAGGCACUCCAGCAGGCAGCAGUAAAUAAAAAAAGUGAGAGCUUUGCGUCUAAUCUGUUCCAAGUGUUGCAUUCCAAUUUUGGUCCAACAGGCAAGGACAAACAAAAAGUUGGAACUGAAUUUGACCUGAUCUGUGCCUUUUGAACCGAUAGUGAGACGCUAGCUCCAACUGCCUCGUACCGUGUAGUGUACUACUCCAAAAAGCUAAUGGUGUUCUGCUCGUAGUAGCUGAAAAUGAAAACAUAACUUUGGAUUUCCAAAAGGAGAAAAAAGGGCAAUUUGAAGUCAGUUUCAUGGGAUGUUUAGCUGACAAAUCUGUGCACUAACAAGUGAUUACACACUCAUCCUAGGCAAGAACGUAGCUUGCUAAGGUCCUGGUAUCUAAUGGUUCCACAGUUACUCAGGAGUGACGUGGUGGGGGAGUUCCGCGGGUGUGCUGUGUGAUUUGGAAGCGAACUAGAAGUAACUAGUCUUCAACCCAUGCUACUGCACG
rnacentral:lncRNA from 1 species